rnacentral:tRNA from 1 species
GCAGGUGAGAGACCCGGACUCGAUCAGCUUCCCAAGCUGAGAACGCGGGUUCGAUUCCCGUCACCCGCUCCA